AUCCCAUGAUAAGAACACUUACAAAGUAACUCCUUGAAUCUCUCCCAAGCCUCAUACAAAGACUCAUCAACCAAGUGUUGGAAAGUUGUGAUCUCGUUCCUCAACUU
rfam:Gossypium arboreum cultivar AKA8401 contig_37416_3, whole genome shotgun sequence.